CCAUUCAGUAUUGGAGGCAUUGCCUGCCCAGUGACAACUGUUUAACGGCCGCGGUAUCCUGACCGUGCAAAGGUAGCAUAAUCAUUUGUUCUCUAAAUAAGGACUUGUAUGAAUGGCCGCACGAGGGUUUUACUGUCUCUUACUUCCAAUCAGUGAAAUUGACCUUCCCGUGAAGAGGCGGGAAUGCACAAAUAAGACGAGAAGACCCUAUGGAGCUUUAACUAACCAACCCAAAGAGAAUAGAUUUAACCAUUAAGGAAUAACAACAAUCUCCAUGAGUUGGUAGUUUCGGUUGGGGUGACCUCGGAGAAUAAAAAAUCCUCCGAGCGAUUUUAAAGACUAGACCCACAAGUCAAAUCACUCUAUCGCUCAUUGAUCCAAAAACUUGAUCAACGGAACAAGUUACCCUAGGGAUAACAGCGCAAUCCUAUUCAAGAGUCCAUAUCGACAAUAGGGUUUACGACCUCGAUGUUGGAUCAGGACAUCCUGAUGGUGCAACCGCUAUCAAAGGUUCGUUUGUUCAACGAUUAAAGUCCUACGUGAUCUGAGUUCAGACCGGA
rnacentral:rRNA from 1 species